rnacentral:rRNA from 1 species
UGCUCAAUGAUUUUUUAAAUUGCUGUAGUAUUUUGACUAUACAAAGGUAUUGAAAUAAGAUUUUAAUUGAAUGCUAAGAGAAUGGAAGUCCAGAAAAAAACUUUUUUUAAAUUAAAAAUUGAAGUUUUUUUAAUUUGUGCAGAAACAAUUAUUUAUAUUAAAGACAAGAAGACCCUAUGAAUUUAUUAAAUUUUUAUUUAAUAUGUAAUUACUAUUAGAAAAAUUUUGGCUGGGGCGGCUAGAAAAUAUUAUGAACUUUUUAAAAAUAAAAUGAUCCA